rnacentral:RNase_P_RNA from 1 species
AGUGGUAAUGACUUCAUCGCCUUCGGAAAUUCCGGGGGAGGAAAGUCCGGACAGCGCAGGGCAUUCUGCUUCCUAACGGGAAGGGGUCUCUUAGGGGAUUACAGCAAGUGCAACAGAAAGUAUACCGCCCCUUAUGGGGUAAGGGUGAAAUGGUGGGGUAAGAGCCCACCGGUCCUGGUGGUGACAUCGGGAGCCAGGUAAACCUCAGAAGCUGAAAGGCCAAAUAAACCGGUGCUUGAGGGCGGCCCGUCCAAUACCGGAGGGUAGGCUGAUUGAGGCGACUCGUGAGAGCCGUCCCAGAUAAAUGAUGAAGGUCCCUUUAAGGGAUAACAGAAUCCGGCUUAUGAUUUAUCACUUAAA